rnacentral:lncRNA from 1 species
UGAUCCUCAAAUAUUCCAUUUUUUCCUUUCUUUAGGGAUUGUGCAUUCGAUAAUGAAAUCCAUCAGUACUUAUGCCUUUAUUGCCAUACGAGGUUGAUACUCGAGUCGAACUCUCCGAGCUUGAUCGCCCACUUCGCCAAAUGAUCAGAUAUAUCCAGCCUUCAAAGUAUUGCUCUCAAAGACUAGUCAGUGAGUACAACAACUAUAUAAGCUUGGAAGUAUGGCUGAAGACACUUGCUAAUGAUGACAAUC